rnacentral:misc_RNA from 1 species
UCUGCCCAUUGUUAUGGGGGUGAAGG